CCUCAAGCAUAGCUUGGUAUUGGACUUUCGCGGGCCUUCUUAUAGGGUGGAGCUCGCGGGUCCGAAAAGCAGUGGCGGUCCCGAGGAUUUCGCGCGUAGUAAAUAUUAUCCCGCGUUGGAAAGAAUCGGUGGGCUUGCCAAAACCCCCCAUAAUCUCCACGAUUGACCUCGGAUCAGGUAGGGAUACCCGCUGAACUUAA
rnacentral:misc_RNA from 1 species